CAACUACUCCCUCUAUCCCAAAUUUCUUGUCUUAGAUUUGUCUAGAUACGGAUGUAUCUAAUACUAAAAUGUGACUUGAUACAUUCGUAUCUAGACAAAUCUAAGACAAGAAUUUUGGGACGGAGGGAGUACUUU
rfam:Triticum aestivum genome assembly, contig: Triticum_aestivum_CS42_TGACv1_scaffold_487908_6AS